GACGUGUCAGUUUGCUAAGCAAAAGAAAAUGUCUCCAUGCGGCAGCUGCGGAGCACAGGGUGUCUGCCUGGUCUCUUCGCCCCUCGGGUUAGGUCAACGCUGCCGGUGCAGGCCUGAAGAAGCCUAAAAAGCUACAGAAAAGCCAAGAAAUGCACCCCAAGUACUGUAUUAAAAUGAAACAUCCCAAGAGACAGUAUGUCUGGACAAAAAGUAGACCCAGAGAGUGGCAUGUGGUUUGAAGCACUGCAACAUCCCUUUGGACUUGAGACCUGGAACUGCCCUUGACAAGCUAGUUGUCAAGAUACGAGUAGAUCUGGAUACCCCGGCGCAUGAGGGCCCUGCCAUUGAAGGACAGGUCCUGCAAUGACUUCUGCAAUGAGGCAUGAGGUCCACCGGGCCUCUGUGGACAACCAGAGGAGUAGCCAAGAGACUCGCCGCAUGCAAAUAGCGGAAGCCAUGGUGCAGGCAGCAGCAUCAGCAACAUCCAGUGCUGCCUGGAGGGCCGCCCUGGCCGCAGUCGUGCCCUCAUCGCGGAUUGCUCGGAACUCCUUCUUGGGAAGCCUCAGGGAGUGACCCUUUGAACUUGGCUAUGGCUUGCCACCUAUUGAAAUCAUAUUGGCCAAGGAGGGCUUGGUGGUGAGCUACUCUCAGCUGAAGGCUGGAAGACGAAUAAACCUUUUGGCCGAAAAGAUCCAGCCUCCUUGAGUCUUUAUUUUUGGGGGUGGCCCCAGGUUGUCCCUGCCUCCUCUUGUGGUUCACCACCUCAACCACAAGAGAAUUGGGGGCUGGGUGGGAGUAUAGGUACUCAUGCCCUUUAGCUGGCACAAAGUACUUACGUUUGGCCCUUUUAGAGACAGGGCCAGGGAAGAGGGGGUCUGCCACAGGGCAUUAGUGAUUUUUGGAGACCCCUUCAUGAAGGGGUAGGGCCUAGGACAUAGGACAUCAAACAGAGUCCGAGGGCUCUUCCAAUUCCUCUGCCUGAAGCUCCACGUUAGAAGAGACCCUCUUCAAAAGUUCCUGGUGCACCUUGGCAUCAUCCUGAGGAACAAGGAGAGUGGGCCCCGUGGUAGCCUCGUCUGGCGACGACAAGGAUGAUGCCGCUGCUGCGGGAACCUCCAUGUCCAUUGGUGGUCCAGCAGCUCGCUUCCCUGGGUCCUCCUGGACCUGUGAGGUUUUACCCCCUGAAGCCUCAAGCACCAGAGGGGGAUGGGAUACUGAGGCCGCUGGCCUUUGAGGCUCCCGACACAGAUCGGGCAGCCUGGGAAUGUUGGGUGAACCCCCAGGGGUGCCAGCUGCUGCCCUUGGGACAGGUUUCAGUGCUGAUAAUGUAGUUGGCACCACCAGUACUGGGACUUGUCCUGCAGUCAGGGAACCUCGCUCUGAGCCGGAGCUACCAGCAGAGUGGUCAGUACCAGGCUACCAGGAUCUGGCUGAGCGGUAGUUCUUGUCCGACUAGUGCCGGUCACUGAGUCCUGAAGCUGACCUGUCUGAGCAAGAUUGUCUUGGUUGGGCUCUCAGGGACUGACAGCAUUCAGAGGAUCUGCAUCCGAUACCUGGUGAUCCACGCCUCACGCUACUCGACCGGUACUGGGACGUUGACCAGGACCGGGAGCUAUUUUGGGCUGGUUGCCAGGAGGAUCAUCCUGAGUAGAGUGAUCUCCUUCUUGGAGACAGGUGAUGACAGCCGGUGAUCAGCGGUCUCUGGUGUCUGAUUGGUCCCGGGAUCAGUACCAGGUCUUUGGAGACAGUCAGGUCCGGUCCGGUCCUGAAGUUCUUGCCGGGUGGUGCAUGCCCCAGAGGGUCUGCCCCAUUCCACCGGCGAGGUAUGCCUUGAGUCCCUCGAUCGGUGCCCCUGGUGCAGGGAUCAAAGAAAGCUCAGCUUCUUAUUUACAGUAUCACCUGAAAGUGAGAACAGGUGUUUGGAUUGCACUGUUGUAGCUGCCAUUGCAAGGUAUUUAUAUGCCAGAUAUGCUAAACAUUCACAUGCCCCUUCAUGCUUCGGCCACCAUUCCAGAGGUCAUACUUCCAUGCUGAUGACGCUCAUUUUAAAAAAAAGUGUUUAUUAAAUUUGUGAUUGAACUCCUUGGGAGAGAUUGUGUCUCCUGUUCUGUUUUACCCACAUUCUGCCAUAUAUUUCAUGUUAUAGCAGUCUCAGAUGAUGACCCAGCACGUAUUUGUUUUAAAAACAUUUUCACUGCAGAUUUGACACAAAAAAAGGUACCACUGUGAGAUUUCUAAAGAUAGCUACAGCACUCAGUCCAAAAUCUGAGAGGGACAAGGUGUGGAGUAUGCUUUCAGAAGUCUUAAAAGAGCAACACUCUGGAUGCGGAAACUACAGAACCCAAACCACCAAAAAGGAAAAUCAACCUUCUGCUGGUGGCAUCUGACUCAGAUGUUGAAAAUGAACAUGUUGGUCUGUGCUACUUUAGAUUGUUAUUGAGCAGAACCCACCAUCAGCCUGGACACAUGUCCCCUGGAAUAGUGUUUGAAGCAUGAAGGGACACGUGAAUCUUUAGCACAUCUGGCACAUAAAUAUCUUGCGACGCUGGCUAAAACAGUGCCAAGAGAACAUCUGUUCUCACUUUCAGAUGACACUCUAAACAAGAAGCGGGCAGCAUUAUCUCCUGUAAAUGUAAAAAAACUUGUUUGAGCGAUUGGCUGAACAAGAAGUAGGACUGAGUGGACUUGUAGGCUCUAAAGUUUUACAUUGUUUUGUUUUUGAGAGCAGUUAUGUAACAAAUCUAUUUGUAAAUUGCACUUUCAUGAUCGAGAUUGCACUACAGUACUUGUAUGAGGUAAACUGAAAAAUACUAUCAUUUUUACAGUGCAAUAUUUAAUCAAAAAUAUAAAGUGAGCACUGUACACUUUGUAUUCUGUGUUGUAAUUGAAAUCAAUAUAUUUGAAAAUGUAGAAACAAAACAUUUAAUACAUUUCAGUUGGUAUUCUAUUGUUUAACUGUUCAAUUAAACUGAUUAAUCAAGACUAAUUUUUUUAAUCAUGAUUAAUUUUGAGUUAAUCAUGUUAGUUAACUGUGAUUGACAGCACUCAUACAGAGCAAUAUAAACAAGUCAUUUCUAUAUGAAUUUCUAGUUCGUACUGACUUCGCUAAUGCUUUUUAUGUAGCCUGUUGUAAAACUUGGCAAAUAACUAGAUGAGUUGAUGUACUGUACCCCACUAUGUACCCUCAGGAGUACAUCUACCCCAGUUGAGACCCACUUAGACAAAGAUGGUUAUUUAACACAGCCUAUUUCUAUCUGCUAUUGCUCUUUUCCAAGUAUGAGAGUAAUACUGCUUUUCCUCCAACAGGUUCUUAUGAAAAUUCAGACUCUGGAAUCUGUGAAACCUACAUUGACUUAUUCAACUGACGUUUUUGAAAAUUAUCUUUGAAGUGCUGGAGACAAGGUGUUGUGCAAGUUUUCUUUGAGGACAAAGAGGUUGCAUGCAGUGUGAUGGUCACUUAAUGAAAAACGUUCACCCAGGCGAAGAUGUGCUCUGACCUGUCCUGGUUCACAUCCGUCACAGGUGUCACUGCCAGGGUGUAUGUGGAAGGAUAGCACAGUUUCUCCAAUUUUUACUUCAUCCCCAUGUUCCAGAACAUAGGGGUCACAUUUUGUUUUAGGCUACAGAAAAAGAAUUACGCAAUUUUGUCAACUGUAUUUAUUAGAAUAACUGAUAAAAUUCACCAUUACAUGUAUUCCAGGAAUAUUGUUUAUAUGUGAGUCAUUCAGUAUAUUUAAAUUGGUAUCUCGGUAAUCUAACUACAUUUUUAACUGGAACAAAUUUCUCAUAAUUCCUAAUCCAAAAUAAAUAGGAAAAUGUAUCAUAAGUACACCUAAAAACUGAGCAGAAGCAAAGAAAUGAUCAAUGCAUAGAAGAAAAACCACUCAGCAAAAUCAUCCGUGAUUUAUAAUUCAUUUAAAAUGACUAUGUGACUGAUAUGCUUUUCUAUAAUGCAAUAUAAGUACCUAGUUUUCUAAUCACAGUAAGUUGCAAUGCUCACCUGUAGAAUCUGAUUUCCAUUAACAACUGUGCCAUUCUGACUGCCUUGAUCCACAAGAACAUAAUUUUGCAAUUCAUGGUCAAAAUAUACUUCUGCAUGAAACUAGAAAAAUGAUGAAAUAAAAUGUUUCUACUGCACAGCAUUUAGUUUACAUAUUAUCUUAAUAUUCCAGGAUGUAUUUUAGUGGUCUAUUAACAUACCUCUGGUAUUGUAAGUCAAGUCACACUGUCGCAGGCUUUCUGACUUGACCAAACUGAGGAGUGCAUGAACAAAACCUAAUAUUUCUGGCGUACUAAAUUCCAUAUUAUCAGCACAACUGUAUUUGUUGAUUGGGCUGUACAGAUUUACAGUAGGGAACAAUCCUAUAAUGGCAGAGAGAUUGACGAAGAUGACCUCAGAUCUUUUCGGUCUCUAGAUUCUAUGAAUAGGAUAAACCACAAUUCAACUAAAGUUUAUUUUAAAGAUGCUAACCCUGGAGCUUUUUGAUUAUCUUAUUUUAAUCUUUUUAUAAAAAAGGAUGUAAAUGUGAAAGUGAUCCACACAGCAACAAAAUGCUGCUAUGUGUUGCAGGUGGAGGAAAACAGCUUAGUGCCGCUAACUUUCUAUGGUUCCACUGCCAGAAGAAAUAGAAACCUGAUCCAAUGCUCACUGAAGUAAAAAAAAAACUUCAAUUGACUUCAAUAUGUAUUGCACCAAGCCCUUAUUGGUCAAGAACAUAAGUUUAUCUGAUUCUGUGUCCUAUCAGAGACAGACGUUAGGAUUAUCUAUUAAAAACAAAUUUCUUGGGCAAAAUUCUCAGUUUCAUGCCUGCAAAGAAAAAAAUGUCUGUAAUAAGUGACUGUGGAGAUCUAAAAGAAUGAAUAACGCCAUAAAGGUAUGUUAUCUAAAAGGAACUAGAAUACAUUUCUGUUAUUUAUACAAAAAUUAUACAGCUUUGUUUUAUAGGUGAUAUUAAAGAUGCAAAAAAUUCUUUCAAUAUUUUUUGCAAUAAAAGCAUAAUAUUUUAGUAGAAGCCUUCUUUGGCUUUCUAUUAUGUAAUUUUUUUUCUCCAACAUAUGUAAAAGUGUGGGAUUUUUUUUUUUUUAAAAAAGACAGUUAACCUUUUGUAUGCCUACAUGUAUAUGUCUCUUUAAGGAACAUUUCAAAUGUUGGGAAUAUAUUGCUCAUUACUAUGGUGUUAGGAAAAUGUCCUGACUUGCUGAAAAUAAACCGAUGUGUGUUUAGAUUUUUUGAGACUAUAGUCAAUAAAUGUAUUCCAUCACUGUGGCUGCAAAAACAAAUAUUAAAAGAAAUGUGGUUGAGAAGAAUAAAUGAGAGAAAUUAGUCAAUUUACUGCCUUUAUUAGAUUAACUACUGAACUCUGAAGAAAAAUGGUUUAAAUGGAAUAAAUUGGUAAGAAUUCAUUCAUCACGUCUCUGGAAAAAACCUACUGUAUUAGUACUGUAUGUCAUAGUAUACCUAGAGUAAGUCAACCUAUACUGUCGCAACUCUGCAUUUCCUUACUUUCUGUAUUUGGAACCCUCUCUUAAUACUUAUAUAAAAAUAUGUACUAUCAACAAUUUUGUUUAUAUUUAAUAAGCUAGUAACUAAAGUGCACUUCAACUCUGAAAGCCAUUGUUAUAUAGGAUGGAUGCGGCUCUAGGUUUGUUGUUUGUCAGUUAACCUUUGAGAGCUAAUCUGUUUGUACAGGAGUUUUAAACCGUCUAAUUAAAAAUUCCUUCUCUUCCUGUAUUUUUUUUGAAUCUGCUAACUCAUCCUGGAAUCUGCAAGUCAAGCUGGGUUCCUUCUGACUUAUGUAUCACCAGAAAUAAAGAUUCUGCAUUCAGAAUUUAAGUUACCAAUUCUGUUAAUGAUGUGCAAAUGAAAAUAAAAUCCAGCUCAUUCUCCCAGC